rnacentral:rRNA from 1 species
AGUAAAAGUCGUAACAAGGUUUCCGUAGGUGAACCUGCGGAAGGAUCAUUAAUGAAACAUGUCAGGAGGAUCAUUCUGCUGCUGGGUCUUCAAAGGACCAUGUGCACGUUUGAGCCUUUCCUUGACCAUUUCAUCCUUUCAAACCCCUGUGCACUUGAAAUUCAAAGGAGCCCUCUGAAUCGGGUUCACGCUCGAGGAUGAGACCUUUGGAUUCUCUUUAACAAACUCUUAUCUUUAAAUCAAAGAAAGUUUUAUUAUGCCGAAAGGCAGAAUCUAAAUACAACUUUUAACAACGGAUCUCUUGGCUCUCGCAUCGAUGAAGAACGCAGCGAAGUGCGAUAAGUAAUGUGAAUUGCAGAAUUCAGUGAAUCAUCGAAUCUUUGAACGCACCUUGCGCUCCUUGGUAUUCCGAGGAGCACGCCUGUUCGAGUGUCAUGAAAUUCUCAAGCAGAAAGUUUUUCGAAAUUUUCGUGCUUGGAUUUGGGCUUUGCUGUGAAAACGGCUGGUCUUAAAUGCAUUAGCUAGUCUCUUGAUUGUAGAUCUGGUUCUACUCGACGUGAUAAUUAUCGAUCGUUGAGGACAUCGCUCGUCGCAAGACUUGAGGUGGCCAGGACUCUCAAAGAUUGCUUCUAAUCGUCUUCUUGCAAGACAAAUACUUCAUGAUUUGACCUCGAAUCAGGUGGGACUACCCGCUGAACUUAAGCAUAUCAAUAAGCGGAGGA